ensembl:lncRNA
AAAGAACAAUUAGGAAAGGAAUUUUGAUCAUUCUAAGACCUGAAUUCAACUCUGCAUUCAUCUUUCAGCCCUGUGUUCAGUGCCCACAGUGCUCUGCUGUCUUGGCAGGGAUGACAACUGCAGACGAGAGUGUUAUUGUGAUGAGUUCUGCAUCAUAAAUGGAGACUGCUGUUCUGACUACAAUCAGACAUGCAAUCGGAGUAAGACUAAAUAUUCUCAACACAUUAAUACAAGAAAUAAUAAUUGUCAAAAAUUGAUUUUGCAUUCAAAGGGUACUGUAGGUUAGCAAUUAAAAAAAAAAAAUAAAUAAAAAGAUUGUUUAAAAACAGCCUGGGGCCAAAGCUCUUCAAUGUCAUAGAACAGGGUUCCUUAAAUCUCAAAGUUUAGCUUUAACCUUGAUCAAACUUGCCUACCUGAUAUUUUCUAAUGAUUCCGAAGACAUUAAUUAGCAUACUCAAUUGUGUUUGAUUAGGGUUAGAGCUAAAUUCUGCAGGAAAGUGGAUCUCAUGGGGCCAGAAUUGAGGAUCCCUUUCAUAGAAACUCCCCAGUACUGCUUUUUAAACCCUAGAGGGCAGUACAUGAUAAGAAGUGACAAACUGUACAAAGAUACUGGUGUAUAUUUUGUGGAAGUUUUUUGUGCCUUACAAAGAAAUUUUACCAAAUUUAUAAUGAUAUCCAAACCAAAUCCUGCUUGAAUCAGUUCAGUAUUUUUCAAUGAUGAAACAAGCAGCAUCAGACUCAGUGACUAAUGGAUUUUUUUCCCCACACCAUUCCAUAUUUUCAGCUUCACCACCGAACCCAACAUCUAUACCAUCAAUACUUUCACAAACAGCAUCAACAGCCUCAUCGCUUCAGCCACAUCCAACAUUCCAACAGUUUUCAGUGCCAACCUCACCAUCAUCACCAAAGUCAUCAUCCUCACUGACUAUUAAACCAUCAUCAUCAUCCUCAUCUUCUACAUCAACAAAAUCCUCUUCAUCUUUACCAGUGUCGGCAGAAUCAACAUUAUCAUCCACACCAUUGUCAUCCUCAAUGCCACCAUCUUCAGCAAUAACCUCAACACAAACUUCAUCAACCUCACCAUCUUUAACUAUACCACCAUCUACAUCAUCAACACCAACCACAACCUCAUCAACAACCUUAUCAUCAACCCCAGCAGCACAGCCCUCACUAUCAGCAGCCUCUACAACAUCUUCCUCAUCAUCAGCAAGCAUGCAGCCUUCAUCACCAUCCCCAUUAUCUUCAUCACCAUCAUUAAUAUCAUCAACUGUAUCAACAUCUUCAGCUGUCCCAUUAUUGUCAUCAUCACCACCAUCUUCAGUACCAUCAAAAUCACAAUCUUCAUCAUCUUCACCAUACUCAACACAAUCUUCAUCAGUACCAUUAUCACCAUCAUCAUCAUCAUCAUCAACACUAUCAUCUAUAACAUCUUCAUCAUUAACAUCUUCAUCUUUCCCACUAUUGUCAUCAACCCAAUCAGCAAAACCCUCACUAUCAGCAACCUCUGCAUCAUCUUCAUUCUUACCAUCAUCAGCAGACUCACAGCUUACAUCACCAUCCACACCAUCAUUAACAUCUUUAUCAUUAUCAACAUCCUCAGUAAUAUCAACUCCACCAUCCUCUUCAUCUUUACCAUCCACGGCAGCAUCUUCAUCAGUCCCACUAUUGACAUCAUCAUCUUCAUCUUCUUCAACACUUUUAUCUACACCAUCUUCAUCACCACCAUCUUCAAUACUAUCAACAACACCAUCUUCAUCACCAUCAGCACCAUCUUCAUCCCUCCCACUACUGAAAUCAUCCAUAACCCCCAUCAGCACAACCUCUGCAUCGCCUUCCUCAACCUUACUAUCAUCAGCAUCAACAACAACAUCUUCAGUACUAUUAUCUCCACCAUCCUUAACAUCAUCUUCAUCAGUCCCAAUAUCAACAUCAUCUUCUUCUUCAACACUAUUAUCUACACCAUCUUCAUCACCACCAUCUUCAAUACUAUCAACAACACCAUCUUCAUCACCAUCAGCACCAUCUUCAUCACUCCCACUACUGAAAUUAUCACCAACCCCCAUUAGCACAACCUUUGAAUCACGUUCCUCACCCUUACUUUCAUCAGCAUCAUCAACACCAUCUUCUAUACUAUCAUCAUCAACCCAACCACAACAGCCCUCAUUAUCAGCAACCUCUACAUCAUUGUCCUCAUCAUUACCAUCAUCUGAACCAUCUUUAUCAGUCCCACCAUCAUCAUCAUCUACACUAUCUUCAUCAUCUUCACCAUUUUCGUCAAUACCACUAUCAUCAACAACCCCACCAUCACAGCCCUCAUUUUCAGGAACAACUACAUUAUCUUUCUCAUCCGUACCAUCAUCAACAAGCUCACAGCCUAACACACCAUCCUCACUAUUUUCAUCACCAACAUUUACAUCAGCAUCAAUAAUACAUUCAACACUAUCAUCUACACCGUCAUCAUCACUGUCACCAUCAUCUUCAGCACCACUAUCAUUGCCAUCAUCAUCAACCCUUCCAGCGCAGCCCUCACUAUCAACAACCUCUGCAGCAUUUUUCUCAUCCUUAUCAUCUUCAGCUAACUCACAAGCUUCAUCACCAGAAUUAAAACCAUCAUCAACUACAUCUUUAAUACACUCAAUAAAACAAUCCUCAUCAUCUUCAUCAUCCUCAUCAAUCCCACUAUUGUCAUCAUCUUUAACAGUAUCAUCUGCAUCAUCUACAUCACCAAUAUUAUUACCAUCAUCUUCAUCCACAUCCUCAAUACUAUCAUCUACACUAUCUUCAUCAAUCCCACUAUCAUCGUCAACCUCUACAGCACAGUCCUUACUAUCAACACCCUCUACGUUAUCUUCCACAUCAUUACCAUCAUCAGUAAACUCGCAGCCUUCAUCACCAUCCCCAUCAUUUUCAUCACCAACAUUAACAUCAACAUCUUCAAUACUAUCAUUUACACCAUCAUUUUCAACAUCUUUAUCAGUCCCAUUAUUGUCAACAUCAUCAUCUUCAACACUAUCAUCUACACCAUCUUCACCAACAUUGCCAUCACCUUUAUCAUCAACACCGCCAUCUUCAAUACUAUCCACUGCUCCAUAUUCAUCAUCCUCAGCCUCAUCUUCAUCAGUCUCACUAUCAUCAUCAACCCAACCAAAACAGCCUUCAACAUCAGCAACCUCUACAUCAUUGUCCUCAACAUUAACAUCAUCAGCAAUCUCACAGCCUUCAUCACCAUCCCUACCUUCUUCAACAACACCGUUAUCAACAUCCUUAAUACUGUCACCUACACAAAACUCAUCAUCUUCAACAUCCUCAGCUGCAAAUCCAUCAGUCCCACUACUGUCGUCAUCAUCAUCUGCAACAUUAUCAUCUAGACCUUCUUCAUCACCAACUUUACAAUCACCUUUAUCAUCAACACCACCAUCUUCAAUACUAUCAACUUCUCCAACUUCAUCAUCCUCAAUCUCAUCCUCAUCAGUCCCACUAUCAUCAUCAACCCAAUUAAAACAGCCCUCAUCAUCAGUAACCUCUACAUCAUUGUCCUCAUCAUUAACGUCAUCAGCAAAUUCACAGCGAUCAUCGUCAUCCCCACCAUCUUCACCACCAACAUUAACAUCUUCAAAAAUAUCAUCUAUACCAUCUUCAUCAUCUUUGCCAUCCUCAAUACCAUCAUCAUCAGUCCCAUUAUUGACAACUUCAUCUUCAACACUAUCUUCAUCAUCUACAACAUUUUUAGCGACAUCUUCAUCAGUCCCACUAUCAUCAUCAUCUACACCAUCUUCAUCAGUCUCACUAUUGUCAACAUUAUCAUUGCCAUCAUCAACAUUGUUAUUUACACCAUCUUCAUCAUCUUCUCUAUCUCCACUAUCAACAACAUCUUCAAUAUCAUCUACACGACCUUCACCAUCUUCAUCCAUCCUACUAUCACCAUCAACCUCACCAGCACAUCCCUCAGUAUCAACAAGCUCUACAAUAUCUUCCACA